rnacentral:rRNA from 1 species
UGGGGAAUUUUGGACAAUGGGGGAAACCCUGAUCCAGCCAUCCCGCGUGUGCGAUGAAGGCCUUCGGGUUGUAAAGCACUUUUGGCAGGAAAGAAACGUCGCGGGUUAAUACCCCGCGAAACUGACGGUACCUGCAGAAUAAGCACCGGCUAACUACGUGCCAGCAGCCGCGGUAAUACGUAGGGUGCAAGCGUUAAUCGGAAUUACUGGGCGUAAAGCGUGCGCAGGCGGUUCGGAAAGAAAGAUGUGAAAUCCCAGAGCUUAACUUUGGAACUGCAUUUUUAACUACCGGGCUAGAGUGUGUCAGAGGGAGGUGGAAUUCCGCGUGUAGCAGUGAAAUGCGUAGAUAUGCGGAGGAACACCGAUGGCGAAGGCAGCCUCCUGGGAUAACACUGACGCUCAUGCACGAAAGCGUGGGGAGCAAACAGGAUUAGAUACCCUGGUAGUCCACGCCCUAAACGAUGUCAACUAGCUGUUGGGGCCUUCGGGCCUUGGUAGCGCAGCUAACGCGUGAAGUUGACCGCCUGGGGAGUACGGUCGGCAAGAUUAAAACUCAAAGGAAUUGAC